rnacentral:pre_miRNA from 1 species
UCUCUAUUUCGCGUGCUCUCUCACCACUCUGACCGGUGAGAGAGUGUGUGAAAUGAAGAGU